rnacentral:rRNA from 1 species
UACGUAGGGGGCAAGCGUUGUCCGGAAUCAUUGGGCGUAAAGAGCGUGUAGGCGGCCUGAUAAGUCGGCUGUGAAAGUCAAGGGCUCAACCCUUGAAUGCCGGCCGAUACUGUCAGGCUAGAGUCCGGAAGAGGCGAGUGGAAUUCCUGGUGUAGCGGUGAAAUGCGCAGAUAUCAGGAGGAACACCUAUGGCGAAGGCAGCUCGCUGGGACGGUACUGACGCUGAGACGCGAAAGCGUGGGGGGCGAACAGG